rfam:Strongyloides venezuelensis genome assembly, scaffold: SVE_scaffold0000029
GAUUCCGUGGUGUAGUCGGUUAUCACAUCUGUCUAACACACAGAAGGUCGGCGGUUCGAAUCCGCCCGGAAUCA